CAGCUCCCCAUGACGAAUGCGGUCACCAGCACUGCACACAUAAAACACUUGUUCUUUUACGUCAAGUUCUCGCGCUUUGGGUGUGAUUUUGUUAUCUUUUUAAAAAGUGGAUGUAUUCAAAGACAAAGUUAGGCACCACACCGGAAUAUAAAUAAGCCCAUUCAGGGAUAUGUAAGCAUGGAUACACACGAAACAAGCAAAAAUCCAAAAUGGAAGCUGGGAAAUUUCUCUCAGAAAAAGCAUCUACGCCAGAAGCUGGACAUUCUUCAACAUCGACAUGCAAGUCAUGCCAGGAUAGCGCUCUGCUCUUGUGGUCCAGUGGCGACAUGGCAGUUCAGGCCACCUCGUGUCACCUGGCUCACUGAGCCAGGAGCACCUCUCAAGUGUCGCCUGCUAGAGGGAGGCUGCUUCACAACAGUGCGAUGGCAUCAGAGCUGUGAGGAGGAGGAAAAGACUGAAGCACAAGCCUCGGCAUGGAAGUUUCCACUAAGCAUUGGGAGCUGGCCAGGGUGUCUGCCAGACUCCGCGGUUACCUUUGAUUUAGCUGUACCGGCAUCUCCA
rnacentral:lncRNA from 1 species